UACAGAGGAUGCAAGCGUUAUCCGGAAUGAUUGGGCGUAAAGCGCACGUAGGCGGAUCGUUAAGUCGGGGGUGAAAUCCUGGAGCUCAACUCCAGAACUGCCUUCGAUACUGGCGAUCUUGAGUCCGGAAGAGGUGAGUGGAACUCCUAGUGUAGAGGUGGAAUUCGUAGAUAUUAGGAAGAACACCAAUGGCGAAGGCAGCUUGCUGGGCCACUCCUGACACUGAGGUACGAAAGCGUGGGGAGCGAACAGG
rnacentral:rRNA from 1 species